AUCCUGCCAGAAUCAUAUGCUUGUCCCGAAGCUUAAGCCAUGCAUGUGUCAGAACGAUAGUAGCUUGAUCUAGAAUCUGCGAACGGCUCCGUAUAUCUGUUAUAACCCACCGCCAUCCAUCCCCACCGGCAUAACCACGGUAAUUCUGUGGCUAAUACGUGUAUAAGGGGGCCCUAGGCGCAAGCUGGGGGCCCCUGGUCUUAUCGUUCGGCCAACCCGGGUAAAACCGGAGGCUCGAAGCCGAUAAGAGAACCUGACCGCGGUCAUCCGCGGCAUGUGCGAUGGAUUUCAGACCUAUCAACUAGAUGCCCAGGUAUCGCCUGGGCAUGGUUAUAACGGGUACAGAGGAUCAGGGUUCGGUCCUGGAGAGGUAGCCUGAGAGAUCGCUACUACUUCUAAGGAAGGCAGCAGGCGCGCAACGUUCCCAAUGGGGGCACCCUGAGGACGUGAAGGGACAUAUCAAUGCCCGGCCGUUAAAGCCGGGCAAUUGAAAUGGGGGCUUAUUAAACCCCACACCGAGUAACAAUUAGAGG
rnacentral:rRNA from 1 species